UACGGAGGGGGCUAGCGUUGUUCGGAAUUACUGGGCGUAAAGCGCACGUAGGCGGCUUUGCAAGUUAGAGGUGAAAGCCCGGGGCUCAACUCCGGAAUUGCCUUUAAAACUGCAUCGCUAGAAUUGUGGAGAGGUAAGUGGAAUUCCGAGUGUAGAGGUGAAAUUCGUAGAUAUUCGGAAGAACACCAGUGGCGAAGGCGACUUACUGGACACAUAUUGACGCUGAGGUGCGAAAGCUAGGGUAGCAAACGGG
rnacentral:rRNA from 1 species